rnacentral:rRNA from 1 species
GACGAACGCUGGCGGCGUGCCUAAUACAUGCAAGUCGAACGCACAGUUUAUACCGUAGCUUGCUACACCAUAGACUGUGAGUUGCGAACGGGUGAGUAACGCGUAGGUAACCUGCCUGGUAGCGGGGGAUAACUAUUGGAAACGAUAGCUAAUACCGCAUAAUAUUGAUUAUUGCAUGAUAAUUGAUUGAAAGAUGCUAUUGCAUCACUACCAGAUGGACCUGCGUUGUAUUAGCUAGUAGGUGAGGUAACGGCUCACCUAGGCGACGAUACAUAGCCGACCUGAGAGGGUGAUCGGCCACACUGGGACUGAGACACGGCCCAGACUCCUACGGGAGGCAGCAGUAGGGAAUCUUCGGCAAUGGACGAAAGUCUGACCGAGCAACGCCGCGUGAGUGAAGAAGGUUUUCGGAUCGUAAAGCUCUGUUGUAAGAGAAGAACGGGUGUGAGAGUGGAAAGUUCACACUGUGACGGUAUCUGACCAGAAAGGGACGGCUAACUACGUG